rnacentral:rRNA from 1 species
GACGAACGCUGGCGGCGUGCUUAACACAUGCAAGUCGAACGGAAAGGCCCUGCUUUUGUGGGGUGCUCGAGUGGCGAACGGGUGAGUAACACGUGAGUAACCUGCCCUUGACUUUGGGAUAACUUCAGGAAACUGGGGCUAAUACCGGAUAGGAGCUCCUGCUGCAUGGUGGGGGUUGGAAAGUUUCGGCGGUUGGGGAUGGACUCGCGGCUUAUCAGCUUGUUGGUGGGGUAGUGGCUUACCAAGGCUUUGACGGGUAGCCGGCCUGAGAGGGUGACCGGCCACAUUGGGACUGAGAUACGGCCCAGACUCCUACGGGAGACAGCAGUGGGGAAUAUUGCACAAUGGGCGGAAGCCUGAUGCAGCAACGCCGCGUGCGGGAUGACGGCCUUCGGGUUGUAAACCGCUUUCGCCUGUGACGAAGCGUGAGUGACGGUAAUGGGUAAAGAAGCACCGGCUAACUACG